GACACGGUCCAAACUCCUACGGGAGGCAGCAGUGAGGAAUAUUGGUCAAUGGACGUAAGUCUGAACCAGCCAAGUCGCGUGAGGGAAGACUGCCCUAUGGGUUGUAAACCUCUUUUAUAAGGGAAGAAUAAGUUCUACGUGUAGAAUGAUGCCUGUACCUUAUGAAUAAGCAUCGGCUAACUCCGUGCCAGCAGCCGCGGUAAUACGGAGGAUGCGAGCGUUAUCCGGAUUUAUUGGGUUUAAAGGGUGCGUAGGCGGUUUAUUAAGUUAGUGGUUAAAUAUUUGAGCUAAACUCAAUUGUGCCAUUAAUACUGGUAAACUGGAGUACAGACGAGGUAGGCGGAAUAAGUUAAGUAGCGGUGAAAUGCAUAGAUAUAACUUAGAACUCCGAUAGCGAAGGCAGCUUACCAGACUGUAACUGACGCUGAUGCACGAGAGCGUGGGUAGCGAACAGGAUUAGAUACCCUGGUAGUCCACGCCGUAAACGAUGCUCACUGGUUCUGUGCGAUAUAUUGUACGGGAUUAAGCGAAAGUAUUAAGUGAGCCACCUGGGGAGUACGUCGGCAACGAUGAAACUCAAAGGAAUUGACGGGGGCCCGCACAAGCGGAGGAACAUGUGGUUUAAUUCGAUGAUACGCGAGGAACCUUACCUGGGUUUAAAUGGGAAAUGCCGUAUUUGGAAACAGAUAUUCUCUUCGGAGCGUUUUUCAAGGUGCUGCAUGGUUGUCGUCAGCUCGUGCCGUGAGGUGUCGGGUUAAGUCCCAUAACGAGCGCAACCCUUACCGUUAGUUGCUAGCAUGUAAUGAUGAGCACUCUAACGGGACUGCCACCGUAAGGUGAGAGGAAGGCGGGGAUGACGUCAAAUCAGCACGGCCCUUACACCCAGGGCUACACACGUGUUACAAUGGCCGGUACAGAGGGCCGCUACCAGGUGACUGGAUGCCAAUCUCAAAAGCCGGUCGUAGUUCGGAUUGGAGUCUGUAACCCGACUCCAUGAAGUUGGAUUCGCUAGUAAUCGCGCAUCAGCCAUGGCGCGGUGAAUACGUUCCCGGGCCUUGUACACACCGCCCGUCAAGCCAUGGAAGCCGGGGGUGCCUGAAGUCCGUAACCGCGAGGAUCGGCCUAGGGCAAAACUGGUAACUGGGGCUAAGUCGUAACAAGGUAGCCGUACCGGAAGGUGCGGCUG
rnacentral:rRNA from 1 species